GAAUUGAAAGCUAACCUAAAGCAUUGGUCUUGUAAGCCAAAGAUAGAGAAUUCUCUCAAUUCU
rnacentral:tRNA from 1 species